UACAGAGGGUGCGAGCGUUAAUCGGAAUUACUGGGCGUAAAGCGUGCGUAGACGGCUAUCUAAGUCGGGUGUGAAAGCCCCGGGCUCAACCUGGGAAUUGCAUUCGAGACUGAAUAGCUAGGGUGCGGUAGAGGGAAGCGGAAUUUCCGGUGUAGCGGUGAAAUGCGUAGAUAUCGGAAGGAACAUCAGUGGCGAAAGCGGCUUCCUGGACCAGCACCGACGUUCAGGCACGAAAGCGUGUGGAGCAAACAGG
rnacentral:rRNA from 1 species